rnacentral:lncRNA from 1 species
GCAGUAAAGCUAGGCGAGUUUAGUUAGCAUUAGGUAUAAAAAGACUUUGGUUUACCUAUUUUACCUGUUUGAGGUACAUUGGCAGAACAAGAAGCUGCCACUGAAGAGUUGAUAUUGGAUGCGUUAGUUUGGUUGCUGAGGUAUGUUGUUGUAAAGUCUCUUGCUGCUUUAGCUGCUCCGAACCCAUUUGAGCUACUUCCAGCUUCAGGGCUGAGAUAAGAGACUGUGGGCAUGAAGCUAGGAGGCAUAGCUGAAGAAUCAACGGAGGCACGAGCAUGAUGGACCACUUGUUGAUGAGUUUGUGGUGGUGAAAAGACUUGUGGCAUAGGGGAACCGUUUCCAGCAAGUAACAUUAUCGCCUUGGCCUGUGAUGGAGGAAUGAUAUUAGUAAAGCAAAUGAUUAAAGCACAUAUGGGAGAAAGUGAUUUGAGUUACCUUUUCAGGAGAUAUGUCAUUAUAAACACAAACUGAACCGGCAUAAAAGAUGGUCAACUGAGCAGGUGAUGAUCCUGAUGGCUUGGAAGAACAUCUGACAAAAGAAGAAAGUUUGAGUCAGCCAUGAAAUAGAUUAUGUUACUUCAAUUCAUGAUAUGAUGAAUAACAAAGAAAUGAUAGAAGCAGUGGGUACGUACCUAAUAUCAGUUGUCCCAACAAUGGAACCUGGAGGAGGAAGGACUGAUACUGGAGGUGCCAUGAUAGGAACUCCUACCAAAGGUUGCGAGUUUACGCUAUUGUUGAUGAAGCUUGUUCCUCCUGAUGCAUAAUGAGACUGGAGACUCGGCCUAGACAUGGAAACUGAGAUAGCUUCUUCAUGUUGUUUGGAACUAGGGAACAUCCUAACUCCCUGAAACCAAAAAAAAAACAUAAUAUAAUUGUAAGGAAACUGUUUAGACUGAAGCUUAUCUUACACUCCAAACAAAUCACUAAGUGUUGAUCAAUCAGGAAUCACAAAAGAAACUUGUUCCAAACUUGACCUAAUGCCACAUGGGUCUAUAAACUCCAAUCAAUCUGAUAAUUGGUAUACAUAGGUAUUGAUAUGGAAAAUACCUGAACAGAACUGUAAGGAGUGCUCCGGUAGGAGGAAUCAUAAACAUCAGCUACGGAUGAUGGCAUGAAGGAACCAGAGUGUGGCAGAUGAUAGUUUCCAAGGUUUCUAUGUCUGUUUUCUUGGGAUGGCCUGAAAGUUAGAAACUGAGGAGUAGAAGUAGCAGAGGCUUUGUUUGGGAAUGACCACUUCAUUCCUCUACUCGGGGCUGCAAAAGGAAACGAAACAAACGAACUACAUCAGUUUAAAAGUCAGACAUGAAGUGGUUACCGUUAAACCAUAAAUGUCUCGAGAUCAUACAAAUAAAUUUAAGAGGCAGAUAAUUCAACACCCAACCUAAGAAAAAGAUGUCACCAACUAUGUGAUAAAGAAACCGAUACUGUUUACAAAUUCAACGAGGCAACAAAACCACCUUUAGAAACCAUGUCCCACAUAAAUAAAUAAAUAGACAAUUAUUCAAAAUCAUUAUAUUUUAGGGUUUUCUGCAGAAAAACCCUCAAUGUGGUUUUUUUUUGCAAAUUAAUCCGCGAACUCAAAAACCUACGGGUCAACCUUCCAAGUGCCAGUCAAACCGCAAUAUAACACUCGGCCGUAUUUAUGUGUAUUUGACUGUGUAUAAUUUUAACAUUUUUUCAAUACUAGGUCGUUUUGGCGCUAAUUUUUUAAUGAAAAAAAUUUGUUGAACUCGUGGUUUGAAAUUUGAACCUUAAAUACCAUGUGCAUGCUAUAUAACCAUCUCGGCCAACAAAUAUAUUUGUUUACUUAACAAACGCAAUUAUAUAGAUUUCUAAAACGAAAUGACCUUGUUUUUCUCGGACAUGGGAGCUUGCGUAAAUGCACAAUGAAGGUGGGGUUCAACAAAUUUUUUUCAUUAAAAAAUUAGCGCCAAAACGACCUAGUAUUGAAAAAAUGUUAAAAUUAUACACAGUCAAAUACACAUAAAUAAGUUUAGCUACUUAGUCAAAAAAAUCUGAAAGGCCCAAUAAGGGGAAAAUAAGCUCAUUAGCAUCAGGGUUCACGAAGCGUACAAUUAGGGUUUUCAAGAUGUAGCUGUCAAUAUAUAGUACAUGCCCAUAUCAAGAAUGUGUCAUCGAUAGUUAGUUUAGUUAGUCUCUGUAAAAGUCUCUGCGUCUAUGAAUUUUAUUUUAUCGCCUUGAUAACAAGGCAGUACGUCACUGGGCGCUUGAGAAAGUGGUGCUUCAGUCCUUUUAGCUGCCAAAAUAGACGGGAGCACUAAUGCUUUCGUUUGCCGUCUUCCCUCGGCUUAUGAACUCUGUUGCUCCCACAUUAGCCUCUUCCUCCUCACCUCUAUUUUUAGAGAAACAAAGGAAACCUAGUUAUGAUAUAUACCUGAAAAUAUGUGUUUAAUCGGUUUUUUAGAGAGAAGAAAACCUCAUUCAAUCUAUGUGUUCUAAUUAUUGCAGAUAUUUCUUUAAAAAUGACCCAGUCGUAAACUUAUCAUGUCCUCUGAUGUUGGUGCCAUUUCCUUGACAUGGUUUCAUAUUAUCAUAUUUGAUUCAUUGACGUCCAUAGUUGAGAAGCUGCCCUGUCCAUUCCUUUGUCUGGCCUCGUUCACCUCUGACAUACUAUGAAUUAGCAAAACUGGUGUAAUAAUUUAAUAUCGCAUUCCUAAACGGCUUUUCCAUAUUGAGACUACCCAAUUGAACUGAUUGAAGAAUGAUAUGUACAAAAAAUAAAGAAACCAACAUUUUCUACAAAUUUUCCAAGUAAUUGUUGCAUUCGGCCAAAAUAAGAUGAUCGAAGUUAUACAACUAUUGAAGAAAAACUCAGUGUAUGUAAAAAAAGAAUUACACAUGUAUAAGCUAAGAAUAAACUCAGCGUAACCAGAGGAAAGGAGAGAAUGGAAAAUUCUGUAACAAAAAAUACAAUAACCUAAAAACCACCAAAAUAUGGGUCUGGAUUGGUCGGAAGCAAAGCAGUAUCACUGCAAAUGAGAUUAGGUUGCAGAGCUGAGAGAAGAACUUAUGCAUUCAGACAUUGGUGUGCGACAAUCUGUUGAUGACUUCUUGUCUAAGCAAUAUGGCGAUAGGCUUGUGACCCUGCAAAACCAAAAGUGUGAGAGAUCGUUAAUUGGUUUCGUCUAUGAAGAAUUGCUGUGUGUACCUUUCUUUGCGUUUCUCUAAGAAUCUAGCUAUAGAUGCUUUCCGAGCCUGAGGUAAAGCCACUGCAUAAGAAACAUAACCAGAAUGAAGCUACAUCCCAUACAAAUAGCAGUAAAGCUAGGCGAGUUUAGUUAGCAUUAGGUAUAAAAAGACUUUGGUUUACCUAUUUUACCUGUUUGAGGUACAUUGGCAGAACAAGAAGCUGCCACUGAAGAGUUGAUAUUGGAUGCGUUAGUUUGGUUGCUGAGGUAUGUUGUUGUAAAGUCUCUUGCUGCUUUAGCUGCUCCGAACCCAUUUGAGCUACUUCCAGCUUCAGGGCUGAGAUAAGAGACUGUGGGCAUGAAGCUAGGAGGCAUAGCUGAAGAAUCAACGGAGGCACGGGCAUGAUGGACCACUUGUUGAUGAGUUUGUGGUGGUGAAAAGACUUGUGGCAUAGGGGAACCGUUUCCAGCAAGUAACAUUAUCGCCU